rnacentral:snRNA from 1 species
AAAUGUUACAACUCUUUUAGAACUUGUCUAGCAGGUGUUUUAGUUUUUAUUGAAAACCCCC